rnacentral:rRNA from 1 species
GACGAACGCUGGCGGCGUGCCUAAUACAUGCAAGUAGAACGCUGAAGAGAGGAGCUUGCUCUUCUUGGAUGAGUUGCGAACGGGUGAGUAACGCGUAGGUAACCUGCCUUGUAGCGGGGGAUAACUAUUGGAAACGAUAGCUAAUACCGCAUAACAAUGGAUGACACAUGUCAUUUAUUUGAAAGGGGCAAUUGCUCCACUACAAGAUGGACCUGCGUUGUAUUAGCUAGUAGGUGAGGUAACGGCUCACCUAGGCGACGAUACAUAGCCGACCUGAGAGGGUGAUCGGCCACACUGGGACUGAGACACGGCCCAGACUCCUACGGGAGGCAGCAGUAGGGAAUCUUCGGCAAUGGGGGCAACCCUGACCGAGCAACGCCGCGUGAGUGAAGAAGGUUUUCGGAUCGUAAAGCUCUGUUGUAAGUCAAGAACGAGUGUGAGAGUGGAAAGUUCACACUGUGACGGUAGCUUACCAGAAAGGGACGGCUAACUACGUGCCAGCAGCCGCGGUAAUACGUAGGUCCCGAGCGUUGUCCGGAUUUAUUGGGCGUAAAGCGAGCGCAGGCGGUUUGAUAAGUCUGAAGUUAAAGGCUGUGGCUCAACCAUAGUUCGCUUUGGAAACUGUCAAACUUGAGUGCAGAAGGGGAGAGUGGAAUUCCAUGUGUAGCGGUGAAAUGCGUGGAUAUAUGGAGGAACACCGGUGGCGAAAGCGGCUCUCUGGUCUGUAACUGACGCUGAGGCUCGAAAGCGUGGGGAGCGAACAGG